UUUUUAGCUUUAGAUGUCCAGUUAACAGGCUUGGUAACUGCUGGGUGUCAAAAACUGUUGUCCCGGGGCUGGAAUGUGUGACCGGACCCGCCCUGACCAGGAGCCCGGCCCGGCCCGCACUCCGACCUCCUGCCCUGGGAGGACGGACAGGGACCCAGCAGGGUAGCAGCCUGUGCUUCAGGGAGGGAGCUGGAGGCUCAGGAAGUCCCAGCCCCGCAGCUUCUGUCUGACUCGCUGCUUCCUCCUGAAUCCCAGGCCCCUGAGCUGCACUUCUCUUCUCCGUAUAAAAGGGUGGGCUUGGGGCGAGAUGUAAGGGGCCUCUUCAGGGCACGUAACCCGCGGCCUCAGCUCCCGGCCCUGAGUGAGGUGCCCACCGUGAUCCCAUCCUUGUCUGCUUAUGGGCUCUGGUAGCGACGGGCAGCGUGAACGCCCACUUUUCCGGUUUCCGCUUCGUCUCGUCUCUUCCCCCCAGGUGGACGGACUUACACUUUAUUUUGCUUUUGUUGGGAGCAGGGCAGGCAGGGCAAUUGGCAGCUCACAGUGAAGGUGCUGGGGUCAGACCUGCGACGAAGGGCCAGACACAUAGGCCUUCCUUGGCUCGGCCCCCUUAUCCGUGAACAGAGAUUGGGUUAACCUGCCCACAGACUUGUAGGGCGACUGCAUCCGCUACACACAGAGCCCCUGGGGCGGCGGGCACACAGCCCGGCUCCCAGAGGCCUGGCAUUCCUGUGCCCUCUGUCUCUGCUCUGUGAGCUCCUUGCCGUGGGGAUUGCAGCCCCAGGUCCCUGUACCCUUGGCUCCUCGCACAGGCCCUAGCAGAGUAGGUGCUGGGGAAGCAGCCAUGACCCUGCUGCCUGGGGUUGGAGGUGCUCUGCACAGCGCCCAGCAGCUCCUCAUCGAGGUCCCACAGUAAACAUCUCGGUUCCAGUCCUGCGGCCACCGCGUGCCUCCCCCUGAAGUCUGGCAGCAAUCAUCUCAGGAAGCGAAUUCCUCUGUACCUGGGAACCAGGACAGCACAAUUAUCCCAAGACCUGAGGGUUCCAGAUAAUGUUUCCCUGUCAACUCAGUGGUCCCCAAAACCAGGACAGCGCAAUUACUCUAAGUUGCCUCGACGGCUCUAGAUAAUUUGUUCCUGGUAACUCAGUGGUCCCAGAUAAUGUGUUCCUGUCAACUCAGUGAUCCGGAGACCCAAACUAUAACUAACAUGCUUAAUUCUGCUUCUGUAAACUGCUUUUUUUGCGAACCAGGUUCCUCAUUCCAAACCCUGGGAUGUAAUCAAUACCUUUGUGAUCUUUGCCUAUAAAUCUGGUGGUGGGCAUGGGAAGGGCACAGUGCGUGGCCCCCUCAGUCCCGGAUUGCAAUAAAUGUGACUCUUUAAUUCGG